rnacentral:rRNA from 1 species
ACUCCUGCGGGAGGCAGCAGUGGGGAAUUUUGGACAAUGGGCGAAAGCCUGAUCCAGCAAUGCCGCGUGAGUGAAGAAGGCCUUCGGGUUGUAAAGCUCUUUUGUCAGGGAAGAAACGGUGAAAGCUAAUAUCUUUUGCUAAUGACGGUACCUGAAGAAUAAGCACCGGCUAACUACGUGCCAGCAGCCGCGGUAAUACGUAGGGUGCAAGCGUUAAUCGGAAUUACUGGGCGUAAAGCGUGCGCAGGCGGUUUUGUAAGUCUGAUGUGAAAUCCCCGUGCUCAACCUGGGAAUUGCAUUGGAGACUGCAAGGCUAGAAUCUGGCAGAGGGGGGUAGAAUUCCACGUGUAGCAGUGAAAUGCGUAGAUAUGUGGAGGAACACCGAUGGCGAAGGCAGCCCCCUGGGUCAAGAUUGACGCUCAUGCACGAAAGCGUGGGGAGCAAACAGGAUUAGAAACCCCUGUAGUCCCAUGA